CAGCCGCCGCGGGAAUACGAAGGGUGCAAGCGUUACUCGGAAUUACUGGGCGUAAAGCGUGCGUAGGUGGUGGUUUAAGUCCGUUGUGAAAGCCCUGGGCUCAACCUGGGAAUUGCAGUGGAUACUGGGUCACUAGAGUGUGGUAUAGGAUAGUGGAAUUUCCGGUGUAGCAGUGAAAUGCGUAGAGAUCGGAAGGAACAUCUGUGGCGAAGGCGACUAUCUGGGCCAACACUGACACUGAGGCACGAAAGCGUGGGGAGCAAACAGGAUUAGAUACCCCGGUAGUCCCUGUCUCUUAUAC
rnacentral:rRNA from 1 species